UGCAGUCGAACGGUGAAGGUGGAGCUUGCUCUGCUGGAUCAGUGGCGAACGGGUGAGUAACACGUGAGCAAUCUGCCCCUGACUCUGGGAUAAGCGCUGGAAACGGCGUCUAAUACUGGAUACGAACCACGGAGGCAUCUUCGGUGGUUGGAAAGAUUUUUCGGUCUGGGAUGAGCUCGCGGCCUAUCAGCUUGUUGGUGAGGUAAUGGCUCACCAAGGCGUCGACGGGUAGCCGGCCUGAGAGGGUGACCGGCCACACUGGGACUGAGACACGGCCCAGACUCCUACGGGAGGCAGCAGUGGGGAAUAUUGCACAAUGGGCGCAAGCCUGAUGCAGCAACGCCGCGUGAGGGAUGACGGCCUUCGGGUUGUAAACCUCUUUUAGCAGGGAAGAAGCGAAAGUGACGGUACCUGCAGAAAAAGCGCCGGCUAACUACGUGCCAGCAGCCGCGGUAAUACGUAGGGCGCAAGCGUUAUCCCGGAAUUAUUGGGCGUAAAGAGCUCGUAGGCGGUUUGUCGCGUCUGCUGUGAAAUCCCGAGGCUCAACCUCGGGCCCUGCAGUGGGUACGGGCAGACUAGAGUGCGGUAGGGGAGAUUGGAAUUCCUGGUGUAGCGGUGGAAUGCGCAGAUAUCAGGAGGAACACCGAUGGCGAAGGCAGAUCUCUGGGCCGUAACUGACGCUGAGGAGCGAAAGGGUGGGGAGCAAACAGGCUUAGAUACCCUGGUAGUCCACCCCGUAAACGUUGGGAACUAGUUGUGGGGUCCAUUCCACGGAUUCCGUGACGCAGCUAACGCAUUAAGUUCCCCGCCUGGGGAGUACGGCCGCAAGGCUAAAACUCAAAGGAAUUGACGGGGACCCGCACAAGCGGCGGAGCAUGCGGAUUAAUUCGAUGCAACGCGAAGAACCUUACCAAGGCUUGACAUACACGAGAACGCUGCAGAAAUGUAGAACUCUUUGGACACUCGUGAACAGGUGGUGCAUGGUUGUCGUCAGCUCGUGUCGUGAGAUGUUGGGUUAAGUCCCGCAACGAGCGCAACCCUCGUUCUAUGUUGCCAGCACGUAAUGGUGGGAACUCAUGGGAUACUGCCGGGGUCAACUCGGAGGAAGGUGGGGAUGACGUCAAAUCAUCAUGCCCCUUAUGUCUUGGGCUUCACGCAUGCUACAAUGGCCGGUACAAAGGGCUGCAAUACCGUGAGGUGGAGCGAAUCCCAAAAAGCCGGUCCCAGUUCGGAUUGAGGUCUGCAACUCGACCUCAUGAAGUCGGAGUCGCUAGUAAUCGCAGAUCAGCAACGCUGCGGUGAAUACGUUCCCGGGUCUUGUACACACCGCCCGUCAAGUCAUGAAAGUCGGUAACACCUGAAGCCGGUGGCCCAACCCUUGUGGAGGGAGCCGUCGAA
rnacentral:rRNA from 1 species